rnacentral:rRNA from 1 species
UGGGGAAUAUUGGACAAUGGGGGCAACCCUGAUCCAGCAAUGCCGCGUGUGUGAAGAAGGUCUUCGGAUUGUAAAGCACUUUCGACGGGGACGAUGAUGACGGUACCCGUAGAAGAAGCCCCGGCUAACUUCGUGCCAGCAGCCGCGGUAAUACGAAGGGGGCUAGCGUUGCUCGGAAUGACUGGGCGUAAAGGGCGUGUAGGCGGUUUACACAGUCAGAUGUGAAAUCCCCGGGCUUAACCUGGGAGCUGCAUUUGAUACGUGUAGACUAGAGUGUGAGAGAGGGUUGUGGAAUUCCCAGUGUAGAGGUGAAAUUCGUAGAUAUUGGGAAGA